UUACGGCCAUAUCACGUUGAAACGCCGAUUCCCGUACGAUCACAGAAGUUAAGGAACGUCGAGCCUGGUCAGUACGUAUGUGGGUGACCAUUUGAGAAUAUCAAGUGCUAU